rnacentral:sRNA from 1 species
UCAUGGAGUGGUGUUUCGGUGUCGCGUGGAGCAGUUCGCUGCUUGCGCUUCAUCCGCCAACCCAUCCUUGGCCAGGGCCAGCGGCGCGUCCCCUGAGUCGUCGUCGUUGGACCCAGGCCUUACUGCCACGGUGCCCCCGCAAAAGCGGACCCUCGUUGUUUGUUGCUCGUGCUCGUCGUCAAUGCGUACGUCGGCUGCACAACAGCAUGCAGCGCAGGAGGCCGUGCGGGUGGUACGGGUCGGUGUUUCAGGCCACGCCAGUCCCUGCUGUUGGCGGGUUCUACGUGAAUCUCCUGGCACCGGCCGGGAGCCCCACGCGCGCCCAAUCCAGCAUGGAGAUUCUUCCCUGCCUGGUGGCGGCGGGCACACACCGUGGGCGCGUGCUCUCGCGCACGCCCCGUUGUGGGGGUUCCCACAACCACUAUCCUACAUCCUUUAACCUGUGAUAUAGCUUGAUCGUCUAGCACGUCGAGCAAAUUAACCAGAAUAACACUGUACAAUGGAUUUCUUGGCUCCCACAUCGAUGAAGAACGCAGCAAAGCGCGAUAGGUAGUGUGAAUUGCAGAAUUCCGUGAAUCAUCGAAUUUUUGAACGCACAUUGCGCCCAAGUCUCCGGACUUGAGCAUGUCUGCCUCAGCGUCGUUUUCAAUGGCUUGCCGUGCAUGGUUCUUGCUGAUCCUCGUCACCUCGGUGAACGGGCGGCAUGAGCUGAAUACUUGCAUUAUUGACAUCGUGCGGUGGCGUGGUCGCGGUCUUCUACGACCACAUCACACCAUCACGCGACGUACGACAGCAGCCGCUCUCGGGCACUGUUCAUCGUUAGCAAGCUACCUUGCGUGGCCAAUUGCUUUCUCAUGGGCACGUGUGCUUGCCAUAGCUUACUGCUGUAGCAACGAGGGGUGAGGCUGGCCGUCAACACC